GAUGAACGCUGACAGAAUGCUUAACACAUGCAAGUCAACUUGAACUUCGGUUUGGGUGGCGGACGGGUGAGUAACGCGUAAAGAACUUGCCUCACAGUUAGGGACAACAUUUGGAAACGAAUGCUAAUACCUGAUAUUAUGAUUUUAGGGCAUCCUAGAAUUAUGAAAGCUAUAUGCGCUGUGAGAGAGCUUUGCGUCCCAUUAGCUAGUUGGAGAGGUAACGGCUCACCAAGGCGAUGAUGGGUAGCCGGCCUGAGAGGGUGAACGGCCACAAGGGGAAUGAGACACGGCCCUAACGCAUACGGGAGGCAGGAGUGGGGAAUAUUGGACAAUGGACCAAGAGUCUGAUCAAGCAAUUCUGUGUGAAAGAUGAAGUGUUUCGGAAUGUAAAGUGCUUUCAGUUGGGAAGAAAAAAAUGACGAUACCAACAGAAGAAGUGACGGCUAAAUACGUG
rnacentral:rRNA from 1 species